AUUAGGUUUUGGGACUAGGGAAAGGUUUAAGGUUUUUGGCGUUAGGGUUAAAAUCACUGUCCAAAACCUUUGUAGGAACUCUUUUCCAACCUUUUGGAGUUGGUUACACCAACAAAAAAGUAAAAUGAAAAAAAAAUAUUUGGGGUGUUUGGGCUUCCUGAAGGUAAUACCCGGGUAUUAGAUUUUAAGGCUAGGUAAGGUUUAAGUUUUUUGGCGUUAGGGUUAAAAUCACUGUCCAAAACCUUUGUAGGAACUCUUUUCCAACCUUUUGGAGUUGGUUACACCAAAAAAAAUGUAAAAUGAAAAAAAUAUAUAUUUGGGGUGUUCAGGCUUCCUAAAAGUAAUACCCGGGUAUUAGGUUAUGGGGCCAUGGUAAGGUUUAAGGUUUUUGGCGUUAGGGUUAAAAUCACUGUCCAAAACCUUUGUAGGAACUCUUUUCCAACCUUUUGGAGUUAGUUAGACCAAAAAAAAUGAAAAAUGAAAAAAAAAUAUUUGGGGUGUUCAGGCUUCCUUAAUGUAAUACCCGGGUAUUAGAUUUUAAUGGCCAGGGUAAGGUUUAAGUUUUUUGGCGUUAGGGUUAAAAUCACUGUCCAAAACCUUUGUAGGAACUCUUUUCCAACCUUUUGGAGUUGGUUACACCAACAAAAAUGUAAAAUGAAAAAAAAAUAUUUGGGGUGUUCGGGCUUCCUGAAGGUAAUACCCGGGUAUUAGGUUAUGGGGCUAGGGUAAGGUUUAAGGUUUUGGCGUUAGGGUUUAAAUCACUGUCCAAAACCUUUGUAGGAACUCUUUUCCAACCUUUUGGAGUUAGUUAGACCAAAAAAAAAGAAAAAUGAAAAAAAAAUAUUUGGGGUGUUCAGGCUUCCUAAAAGUAAUACCCGGGUAUUAGGUUAUGGGGCUAUGGUAAGGUUUAAGGUUUUUGGCGUUAGGGUUAAAAUCACUGUCCAAAACCUUUGUAGGAACUCUUUUCCAACCUUUUGGAGUUGGUUAGACCAAAAAAAAUGAAAAAUGAAAAAAAAAUAUUUGGGGUGUUCGGGCUUCCUGAAGGUAAUACCUGGGAAUUAGGUUAUGGGGCUAUGGUAAGUUUUAAGGUUUUUGGCGUUAGGGUUAAUAUCACUGUCCAAAACCUUUGUAGGAACUCUUUUCCAACCUUUUGGAGUUAGUUAGACCAAAAAAUAUGAAAAAAGAAAAAAAUUUUAUUGGGGGUUUUCGGGCUCCCUGAAAGUAAUACCCGGGUAUUAGGUUUUGGGACUAGGGAAAGGUUUAAGGUUUUUGGCGUUAGGGUUAAAAUCACUGUCCAAAACCUUUGUAGGAACUCUUUUCCAACCUUUUGGAGUUGGUUACAACAACAAAAAAGUAAAAUGAAAAAAAAAUAUUUGGGGUGUUUGGGCUUCCUGAAGGUAAUACCCGGGUAUUAGAUUUUAAGGCUAGGGUAAGGUUUAAGUUUUUUGGCGUUAGGGUUACAAUCACUGUCCAAAACCUUUGUAGGAACUCUUUUCCAACCUUUUGGAGUUGGUUACACCAACAAAAAUUUAAAAUGAAAAAAAUAUAUAUUUGGGGUGUUCAGGCUUCCUAAAAGUAAUACCCGGGUAUUAGGUUAUGGGGCCAUGGUAAGGUUUAAGGUUUUUGGCGUUAGGGUUAAAAUCACUGUCCAAAACCUUUGUAGGAACUCUUUUCCAACCUUUUGGAGUUAGUUAGACCAAAAAAAAUGAAAAAUGAAAAAAAAAAUAUUUGGGGUGUUCAGGCUUCCUGAAUGUAAUACCCGGGUAUUAGAUUUUAAGGCUAGGGUAAGGUUUAAGUUUUUUGGCGUUAGGGUUAAAAUCACUGUCCAAAACCUUUGUAGGAACUCUUUUCCAACCUUUUGGAGUUAGUUACACCAAAAAAAUGUAAAAUGAAAAAAAAUAUUUGGGGUGUUCGGGCUUCCUGAAGGUAAUACCCGGGUAUUAGGUUAUGGGGCUAGGGUAAGGUUUAAGGUUUUUGGCGUUAGGGUUAAAAUCACUGUCCAAAACCUUUGUAGGAACUCUUUUCCAACCUUUUGGAGUUAGUUAGACCAAAAAAAAAUGAAAAAUUAAAAAAAAAUAUUUGGGGUUUUCGGGGUUCCUGAAUGUAAUACCCGGGUAUUAGAUUUUGAGGCUAGGGUAAGGUUUAAGUUUUUUUGCAUUAGGGUUAAAAUCACUGUCCAAAACCUUUGUAGGAACUCUUUUCCAACCUUUUGGAGUUGGUUACACCAACAAAAAUGACCAAAAAAGAAUGAAAAAUGAAAAAAAAAUAUUUGGGGUGUUCGGGCUUCCUGAAGGUAAUACCCGGGUAUUAGGUUAUGGGGCUAUGGUAAGGUUUAAGGUUUUUGGCGUUAGGGUUAAAAUCACUGUCCAAAACCUUUGUAGGAACUCUUUUCCAACCUUUUGGAGUUGGUUACACCAACAAAAAUGUAAAAUGAAAAAAAAAUAUUUGGGGUGUUCGGGCUUCCUGAAGGUAAUACCCGGGUAUUAGGUUAUGGGGCUAGGGUAAGGUUUAAGGUUUUUGGCGUUAGGGUUAAAAUCACUGUCCAAAACCUUUGUAGGAACUCUUUUCCAACCUUUUGGAGUUAGUUAGACCAAAAAAAAAGAAAAAUGAAAAAAAAAUAUUUGGGGUGUUCAGGCUUCCUAAAAGUAAUACCUGGGUAUUAGGUUAUGGGGCUAUGGUAAGGUUUAAGGUUUUUGGCGUUAGGGUUAAAAUCACUGUCCAAAACCUUUGUAGGAACUCUUUUCCAACCUUUUGGAGUUGGUUAGACCAAAAAAUAUGAAAAAUGAAAAAAAAAUAUUUGGGGUGUUCGGGCUUCCUGAAGGUAAUACCUGGGAAUUAGGUUAUUGGGCUAUGGUAAGGUUUAAGGUUUUUGGCGUUAGGGUUAAAAUCACUGUCCAAAACCUUUGUAGGAACUCUUUUCCAACCUUUUGGAGUUAGUUAGACCAAAAAAUAUGAAAAAUGAAAAAAAUAUUUGGGGUUUUCGGGCUUCCUGAAUGUAAUACCCGGGUAUUAGGUUUUAAGGCUAGGGUAAGGUUUAAGGUUUUUGGCGUUAGGGUUAAAAUCACUGUCCAAAACCUUUGUAGGAACUCUUUUCCAACCUUUUGGAGUUAGUUAGACCAAAAAAAAUGAAAAAUGAAAAAAAAAUAUUUGGGGUGUUCAGGCUUCCUUAAUGUAAUACCCGGGUAUUAGAUUUUAAGGCUAGGGUAAGGUUUAAGUUUUUUGGCGUUAGGGUUAAAAUCACUGUCCAAAACCUUUGUAGGAACUCUUUUCCAACCUUUUGGAGUUGGUUACACCAACAAAAAUGUAAAAUGAAAAACAAAUAUUUGGGGUGUUCGGGCUUCCUGAAGGUAAUACCCGGGUAUUAGAUUUCAAGGCUAGGGUAAGGUUUAAGGUUUUUGGCGUUAGGGUUAAAAUCACUGUCCAAAACCUUUGUAGGAACUCUUUUCCAACCUUUUGGAGUUAGUUAGACCAAAAAAAAUGAAAAAUGAAAAAAAAAUAUUUGGGGUGUUCAGGCUUCCUUAAUGUAAUACCCGGGUAUUAGAUUUUAAUGCCAGGGUAAGGUUUAAGUUUCUUGGCAUUAGGGUUUAAAUCACUGUCCAAAACCUUUGUAGGAACUCUUUUCCAACCUUUUGGAGUUAGUUAGACCAAAAAAAUGAAAAAAGAAAAAAAAAUUAUUGGGGGUUUUCGGGCUUCCUGAAAGUAAUACCCGGGUAUUAGGUUUUGGGGCUAGGGUAAGGUUUAAGGUUUUUGGCGUUAGGGUUAAAAUCACUGUCCAAAACCUUUGUAGGAACUCUUUUCCAACCUUUUGGAGUUAGUUAGACCAAAAAAAAAGAAAAAUGAAAAAAAAAAAAUAUUUGGGGUGUUCAGGCUUCCUUAAUGUAAUACCCGGGUAUUAGAUUUUAAUGGCUAGGGUAAGGUUUAAGUUUUUCGGCGUUAGGGUUAAAAUCACUGUCCAAAACCUUUGUAGGAACUCUUUUCCAACCUUUUGGAGUUGGUUACACCAAAAAAAAUGUAAAAUGAAAAAAAAUAUUUGGGGUGUUCGGGCUUCCUGAAGGUAAUACCCGGGUAUUAGGUUAUGGGGCUAGGGUAAGGUUUAAGGUUUUUGGCGUUAGGGUUAAAAUCACUGUCCAAAACCUUUGUAGGAACUCUUUUCCAACCUUUUGGAGUUAGUUAGACCAAAAAAAUGAAAAAUUAAAAAAAAUAUUUGGGGUUUUCGGGGUUCCUGAAUGUAAUACCCGGGUAUUAGAUUUUGAGGCUAGGGUAAGGUUUAAGUUUUUUGGCAUUAGGGUUAAAAUCACUGUCCAAAACCUUUGUAGGAACUCUUUUCCAACCUUUUGGAGUUGGUUACACCAACAAAAAUGUAAAAUGAAAAAAAAAUAUUUGGGGUGUUCAGGCUUCCUAAAAGUAAUACCCGGGUAUUAGGUUAUGGGGCUAUGGUAAGGUUUAAGGUUUUUGGCGUUAGGGUUAAAAUCACUGUCCAAAACCUUUGUAGGAACUCUUUUCCAACCUUUUGGAGUUAGUUAGACCAAAAAAAAUGAAAAAUGAAAAAAAAAUAUUUGGGGUGUUCAGGCUUCCUUAAUGUAAUACCCGGGUAUUAGAUUUUAAUGCCAGGGUAAGGUUUAAGUUUUUUGGCGUUAGGGUUAAAAUCACUGUCCAAAACCUUUGUAGGAACUCUUUUCCAACCUUUUGGAGUUGGUUACACCAACAAAAAUGUAAAAUGAAAAAAAAAUAUUUGGGGUGUUCGGGCUUCCUGAAGGUAAUACCCGGGAAUUAGGUUAUGGGGCUAGGGUAAGGUUUAAGGUUUUUGGCGUUAGGGUUAAAAUCACUGUCCAAAACCUUUGUAGGAACUCUUUUCCAACCUUUUGGAGUUAGUUAGACCAAAAAAAAAAGAAAAAUGAAAAAAAAAUAUUUGGGGUGUUCAGGCUUCCUAAAAGUAAUACCCGGGUAUUAGGUUAUGGGGCUAGGGUAAGGUUUAAGGUUUUUGGCGUUAGGGUUAAAAUCACUGUCCAAAACCUUUGUAGGAACUCUUUUCCAACCUUUUGGAGUUAGUUAGACCAAAAAAGAAUGAAAAAUGAAAAAAAAAUAUUUGGGGUGUUCGGGCUUCCUGAAGGUAAUACCUGGGAAUUAGGUUAUGGGGCUAUGGUAAGUUUUAAGGUUUUUGGCGUUAGGGUUAAAAUCACUGUCCAAAACCUUUGUAGGAACUCUUUUCCAACCUUUUGGAGUUAGUUAGACCAAAAAAAAAAAAAAAAUGAAAAAAAUAUUAUUGGGGGUUUUCGGGCUCCCUGAAAGUAAUACCCGGGUAUUAGGUUUUGGGACUAGGGAAAGGUUUAAGGUUUUUGGCGUUAGGGUUAAAAUCACUGUCCAAAACCUUUGUAGGAACUCUUUUCCAACCUUUUGGAGUUAGUUAGACCAAAAAAAAUGAAAAAUGAAAAAAAAAUAUUUGGGGUGUUCAGGCUUCCUGAAUGUAAUACCCGGGUAUUAGAUUUUGAGGCUAGGGUAAGGUUUAAGGUUUUUGGCGUUAGGGUUAAAAUCACUGUCCAAAACCUUUGUAGGAACUCUUUUCCAACCUUUUGGAGUUGGUUACACCAACAAAAAUGUAAAAUGAAAAACAAAUAUUUGGGGUGUUCGGGCUUCCUGAAGGUAAUACCCGGGAAUUAGGUUAUGGGGCUAGGGUAAGUUUUAAGGUUUUUGGCGUUAGGGUUAAAAUCACUGUCCAAAACCUUUGUAGGAACAUUUCCAACCUUUUGGAGUUAGUUUGACCAAAAAAAAAAGAAAAAUGAAAAAAAAAUAUUUGGGGUGUUCAGGCUUCCUAAAAGUAAUACCCGGGUAUUAGGUUAUGGGGCUAUGGUAAGGUUUAAGGUUUUUGGCGUUAGGGUUAAAAUCACUGUCCAAAACCUUUGUAGGAACUCUUUUCCAACCUUUUG